rnacentral:tRNA from 1 species
GCGACCGUAGCUCAACUGGCGAGAGCGCCAGAACAACGUUCUGGAGGGCGCCAGAUCGAGUCCUACCGGCCGUC